GCCCCCUCAGGAUUGCACCUGGAGAGUUUCCAGGUACUCUACCUGUCUUGGCCAUGGGAGGGAAAACCAAGCAGAGGCAUACUCAUUCCAUUCCUAGCUUGGGCAGUGUCUAGCGAGUGGAAGGCAAUCUGCUACAGGU